rnacentral:rRNA from 1 species
GACAGAGGGGGCAAGCGUUGCUCGGAAUCACUGGGCGUAAAGGGCGCGUAGGCGGGAUGGCAAGUCGGUCGUGAAAUCCUUCGGCUCAACCGAAGAACGUCGGCCGAUACUGCCGUUCUUGAGGGAUGCAGAGGAGAUUGGAAUUCCCGGUGUAGCGGUGAAAUGUGUAGAGAUCGGGAGGAACACCGGUGGCGAAGGCGGGUCUCUGGGCAUCUCCUGACGCUGAGGCGCGAAAGCGUGGGAGCAAACGGG